rnacentral:rRNA from 1 species
ACGCUCGACACCUACGGGAGCAGCAGUGGGGAAUAUUGCACAAUGGGGGAAACCCGUGAUGCAGCGACGCCGCGUGAGCGAAGAAGUAUUUCGGUAUGUAAAGCUCUAUCAGCAGGGAAGAAACUGACGGUACCUGACUAAGAAGCACCGGCUAAAUACGUGCCAGCAGCCGCGGUAAUCUGAGCGGGCUGGCAAGGC